rnacentral:lncRNA from 1 species
GCCGGAAGUCUGAAAGCAGUAUCAGUAGGUGGAAAUCAGGGUGCCCAGCUUCUGGUGGCUGUGACAUUCCUUGGCUUAAGGCUGAGCUCAUUGAUGAAGAAGUCUUGAGUUCAUCAUUUUUUCUUCUCUAAUAGCUGAGAUGGCAGUCAAUGAGAGUGACUGCAGAAAGUUUCAGAAGGACACAUGGGAAUCAUUUAACCAGGCCAAUAAAAUCAGCUAUUUAUACACUUCCCCCGGAAGACAUAGCCCUUGCUUCACUGUCUGAAGGAGAGAAAAUGCAAAAGGUCCAUCGAUAUAUACAUAUAAGAAUUUUUCCAUUAGAAUGCUACACAGUCAGUGGCCAAAAGCCUGUUGGAAAGAGUGUGGGCUUAGAUGACAUCAAGACAUACAGUUUUAGAACCUACUGGCCUUAUCUCUUCACAUAUUUUGAAGUCUAAAAAAGGAUCUCACUGUCCUGAAAUCAGAAAUUUGCAAAAAUCAUCAUCUCCAUCUUCUACUACUGACUAUAAACAUUUUACCUUGUGUAAGCAAUGACCACAAUAGUUCCAAAGAAGGAGUUUUAAACAAAAGAAUGCAUGUGGGGCUCAAUUUUUAGCUCCCACCCAUUACCAGAAAGAGAUGAUCUCUCCCUACAUCCAUCAUGCAGAUUUUUCCAGAGUCUAAAAAUUCUAAGCAGGUAGUAGCAAAUUUAUCAUACAGAUCAGUAGUUUAUAAUAUUGAAAGUGAAAACAACAAUGAAUAUAGCAUAUUUUUUGCUAUCAGAUUGACAAAAAGUGACAGUUUCACUGGGAAAAGUGUGGAGAAACAGGCAUUGGCAGAUGCUGUAGGUGACAUAAAAUAGUAGGGCAAUUUGCUAAUAAUCUGUUAACAUUUUUAAUAUACAUUAUUCCUAACCCAGAAGUUUCACCUCUAGGAAUUUUUCUUACAGAAAUACUCAUACGAGCGCACCAAGGUAUAUUUGUACAUGGUUGCUCAUUGCCACGUGGCUUGUAGGAGCAAAAAAUUGGAAACGACCCAAAUAUCAGUCAGAAGGUAGCUGCUAAAAAUAAAUCCUGAUAUACACACAUUUAACUGGUAUAACUUGCUUUACCAGCUUGGACACAAAUGAGGUUACAUCUUUUUUAUUUUUUCAAAUUACAUUAGGCCCAAACAUCUAUGUGCCAGAUUAGUGCCAGAGGAAGUCCACUGCCUGUCUCCUCUCUUAAGGCCUCUUCUCUCUCCCUGAAUUGUCCAAACACCCUGGGGCUUUUACUCCUUGCAAAGCAGCGAGUCUUGCUUCUAAAUGCCUCCUGGAGAGAAAACUAGAGAAUCUGAUUAGUCUAUUAGGAGCCUUAUUUUCAACGUCUGUUGCUUCUGUUUGCCAUACUGUGACUGUUGAAAGCUGCAAAAGUAAUAAAUAGGGAGUAGUGUUGUAAAAUAAAGAUGGGGG